AACGAACGCUGGCGGCAGGCUUAACACAUGCAAGUCGAGCGCCCCGCAAGGGGAGCGGCAGACGGGUGAGUAACACGUGGGGACGUACCCUUUUCUACGGAAUAACGCAUGGAAACGCGUGCUAAUACCGUAUACGCCCUUUGGGGGAAAGAUUUAUCGGAGAAGGAUCGGCCCGCGUUGGAUUAGCUAGUUGGUGGGGUAAAGGCCUACCAAGGCGACGAUCCAUAGCUGGUCUGAGAGGAUGAUCAGCCACAUUGGGACUGAGACACGGCCCAAACUCCUACGGGAGGCAGCAGUGGGGAAUAUUGGACAAUGGGCGCAAGCCUGAUCCAGCCAUGCCGCGUGAGUGAUGAAGGCCUUAGGGUUGUAAAGCUCUUUCACCGGAGAAGAUAAUGACGGUAUCCGGAGAAGAAGCCCCGGCUAACUUUGUGCCAGCCGCCGCAGUAAGAC
rnacentral:rRNA from 1 species